rnacentral:rRNA from 1 species
CCUACGGGAGGCUGCAGUAGGGAAUAUUGGACAAUGGGGGAAACCCUGAUCCAGCAACGCCGCGUGAGUGAUGAAGGCCUUCGGGUCGUAAAGCUCUGUCGUACGGGAAAUGGUACCGUACAAGAAAGGACCGGCCAACUUCGUGCCAGCAGCCGCGGUAAGACGAGGGGGCCUAGCGUUGUUCGGAAUUACUGGGCGUAAAGCGCAUGUAGGCGGCUUAAUAAGUCGGGUGUGAAAGCUCUGGGCUCAACCCAGAGCGUGCACUAGAUACUGUUAAGCUUGAGUAUGGGAGAGGGUAGUAGAAUUCCUGGUGUAGUGGUGAAAUACGUAGAUAUCAGGAGGAAUACCGGUGGCGAAGGCGGCUGCCUGCCAAUACUGACGUUGAGAUGCGAAAGCGUGGGGAGCAAACAGGAUUAGAUACCCUUGUAGUC